ensembl:lncRNA
AAAAUGAUUUAUAAAGAUAAGUUUAAUAACAGUAGUAAAAUCAUCAACCAAUAGCAUUAUUAUUAUUAUUAUUUCUAAUAAUAAAUCAUUUGCUGCAUAAUCUUUUCAGGUAAGGUUUCUUUGAUACAACCAAGACAAAAGUAAAAGCUGAGAUUAAAACAAAGUCGCUUUGAUAAUCAUAUUUUUAUUUCCAAAAGAAAUUCAGAACCUUCAAAGCACUUUUUGUUUUAUUUUUUUAAAUAAUAUUAUUAACUAGAUAUAUGACUGUUAUUGUUUUGCGCUUUGAGCGUGAAUGUGGACUUAAUGUUCUCAGGUUUUGGAAAGAGAAAAGCAUAGGCGUGUUUACGAUACUGUAGAUUCCUUCUCGAAACGUUUGACGCGUGAAAAUUUACAGCGUUCAGGAAGGAAGUUUUCUUCUAGUAUAGCUCAUUAGAGUUCACCUACACAAACCGAUGUGCAUUUUAGCUCAGUAACAUCCGCAUGCAGGAGCUUAAUGCCCACGUUAUGGCGUGUGGGUGCAGAAAUUGAUAACGCGAUAGCAUCAAAUAUAAUCCUCGCUGCACUGUUGCAUUUUACUCAGUAAUUGAGAGGAAACGAUAUUACCUCGCGUAUAGCGAUGCUCUUAGAAUGAUGACCAAAGCCAUAUAUUAUUUUCUGUAUUAGAGGCCUAAUAUCAGUUGAGUUUGAGUGAGCAGCAAUGACUCUAGAUGGAAAUACACAGGAAACGUUACAUUGUGCUACAAGUGUCAACCACACAAAAUGAAAACACAAUCUUUUUUAGUGCAUAGGGGAAAAACCCUGGUGCUCAAUCAACCCGCUGUUUUAUUUUUCAUCUUAACCGUCUUCCAUCUUCCCCCUCUCUCCUAUUCAUCCAUCCCUCCACCAUUCCUCUCCUCCACCGCGCCAUUUAUCUUUCCCUCCCUCUGCCUCGCGCGCUACCCAGCCGAUAUCAAGGCGUGAUCCCGAGCCCUUCAAAGGUCAAGUGAUACAAGGUCAUUGGCGGGUCAGGCCUGCUGACUGGCUGACCUCCACAAGGACUUCUGCCGCCAGCCAAUCGCACGCCGGCGUCUCCCACAGCAGCCUGCCUCCAUCCCUGGCGGGCCCUCGGCGGCGCGUCACGUGAUCGUUAACGGACUGAAGCAUCAUGAUGGAAAUGAUUAAUGAUGCUUUUAGUACCUGUUUAGAAUGAAGCUGUCCACACUGCACUGUAAUUACCCACUCCCAGGCGGCAGCUGCCUAACAUAAUUGCUUUUUGUUUGUUGACCUGGUUUACCAGAGAGAAAGAUGGCUUUAGGUAGGUGAAGUGUGAGCGUUGGUGCAUGUUGGCGUUUUAUAGAGGGUGAAGAAGCGAGAAAGGUGCGCGAUCGUACGUGAUGUCAGAUUUAGCGCCGUCCUUAAAAGGCUCGGCUGACCCGUGUGAUUUUUUUCCCCGUUUCAGGCAGAAAGGAAUUUUGUUUUAUUUUUGAAAGUGCAUUGGAUAAUUCUUCAUUUUUAUGUGGCACUCUGGCCACUGAGAGGUAAACACGAGACGUGUAAAUCUGCAAUAAAAUUUCGGAAUCAACAGCUGUGAUUGUAAUAAGUAAUUCGAAAUAAACUGAGACGUUGGUGAAUGAAACACUCCUUCCUCUAAUUUCUGUCUAUAUGUCUUAAAAGCAACCCAUAUUUCAGUGGAAAGCACUUAAACUGUUUUACAGCUAUAAACAUUACUUGCAUUUGGUCACACAUGAAUCAAAUGAUGGUCUCCAAAGAGCUUCAAAGAAUGUCCGUUUUCUCAGUGACAGUAUUAAACAGGAAUCAGGAUGGGCUGAUUGAGGAUUGAGUUGAAGGGUUUCCCAACUUUAUUUCUGCUCCAGGAACCCCCACAGCCAUCAUUUAUGCUCAAGUACCCCUUCAAUGACAC